rnacentral:rRNA from 1 species
GACGAACGCUGGCGGCGUGCUUAACACAUGCAAGUCGAACGAAGUGGCGAACGGGUGAGUAACGCGUAAUCAACCUGCCCUUCAGAGGGGGAUAACUACUGGAAACGGUGGCUAAUAACGCAUACUGUCGGAUGAACCCAUAUGGGAUUAGCUAGUAGGUAAGGUAAUGGCUUACCUAGGCGAAGAUCCCUCGCUGGUCGGAGAGGAUGAACGGCCACAUUGGGACUGAGACACGGCCCAGACUCCUACGGGAGGCAGCAGUGGGGAAUCUUCCGCAAUGGACGAAAGUCUGACGGAGCAACGCCGCGUGAGUGAUGACGGCCUUCGGGUUGUAAAGCUCUGUUAAUCGGGACGCGGUACCGGAAUAGAACGCCACGGCUAACUACGUGCCAGCAGCCGCGGUAAUAC